GUGGGGAAUCUUAGACAAUGGGGGAAACCCUGAUCUAGCCAUGACGCGUGAGCGAUGAAGGCCUUAGGGUUGUAAAGCUCUUUCAGCUGGGAAGAUAAUGACGGUACCAGCAGAAGAAGCCCCGGCUAACUCCGUGCCAGCAGCCGCGGUAAUACGGAGGGGGCUAGCGUUGUUCGGAAUUACUGGGCGUAAAGCGCGCGUAGGCGGACCAGAAAGUUGGAGGUGAAAUCCCAGGGCUCAACCUUGGAACUGCCUUCAAAACUCCUGGUCUGGAGUUCGAGAGAGGUGAGUGGAAUUCCGAGUGUAGAGGUGAAAUUCGUAGAUAUUCGGAGGAACACCAGUGGCGAAGGCGGCUCACUGGCUCGAUACUGACGCUGAGGUGCGAAAGCGUGGGGAGCAAACAGGAUUAGAAACCCCAGUAGUCC
rnacentral:rRNA from 1 species